CCUAUGGGUGGCAGCAGUGGGGGAUAUUGCACAAUGGGGGGAACCCUGAUGCAGCGACGCCGCGUGGGUGAAGGAGCGCUUCGGCGCGUAAAGCCCUAUCGGCAGGGAAGAAGAUGACGGUACCUGACCCAGAAGCCCCGGCUAACUACGUGCCAGCAAGCGGAGUAAUACGGUGGGGGCAAGCGUUAUACGGAUUUACUGGGUGUAAACGGGGCGCAGUCGGCAAUGCAAGCCAGGAGGGAAAGCCCGGGGGCCAACCCCGGGAGAGCUCUUGAAACUGGAUGGCUGGAGUACGGGAGGAGCAGGCGGAAUUCCUAGGGUAGCGGUGAAAUGCGUAGAUAUUAGGAGGAACACCGGUGGCGAAGGCGGCCUACUGGAGUUUGACUGACGUUGAGGCCCGAAGGCGUGGGGAGCAAACAGGAUUAGAUACCCCUGUAGUC
rnacentral:rRNA from 1 species